AUUGAACGCUGGCGGAAUGCUUUACACAUGCAAGUCGAGCGGCAGCGCGGGGCAACCUGGCGGCGAGCGGCGAACGGGUGAGUAAUGUAUCGGAACGUACCCAGUCGUGGGGGAUAACUAUCCGAAAGGAUAGCUAAUACCGCAUACGUCCUGAGGGAGAAAGCGGGGGAUCGCAAGACCUCGCGCGAUUGGAGCGGCCGAUAUCGGAUUAGCUAGUUGGUGAGGUAAAGGCUCACCAAGGCGACGAUCCGUAGCUGGUCUGAGAGGACGACCAGCCACACUGGAACUGAGACACGGUCCAGACUCCUACGGGAGGCAGCAGUGGGGAAUUUUGGACAAUGGGGGCAACCCUGAUCCAGCCAUUCCGCGUGAGUGAAGAAGGCCUCGGUUGUAA
rnacentral:rRNA from 1 species